rnacentral:rRNA from 1 species
GACGAACCGUGCGAACGUUGUUCGGAAUCACUGGGCUUAAAGGGCGCGUAGGCGGGCUGUCAAGUCUGGGGUGAAAUGCCGCGGCUCAACCGUGGAACUGCCUUAGAUACUGACGGCCUCGAGGAAGGUAGGGGCAUGCGGAACUGUAGGUGGAGCGGUGAAAUGCGUUGAUAUCUACAGGAACUCCGGUGGCGAAAGCGGCGUGCUGGACCUUUUCUGACGCUGAGGCGCGAAAGCUAGGGGAGCAAAC